GGCCUAUUGAAUAUAAUUUUAGGUCGAUCUGCCCAAUGAUUUUAAAUUUAAUGGCUGCGGUAUUUUGACUGUACAAAGGUAGCAUAAUCAAUUGUUUUUUAAUUGAAAACUAGAAUGAAAGAAUUAAUGAGAUAUAUACUGUCUCAUAUAUAAUAAAUGAAUUUAAAUUUUUAGUAAAAAUGCUUAAAUUAUUUUAUGGGACGAUAAGACCCUAUAGAAUUUUAUAUUAAUAUAAAUAGUUAUUUUUAUAGGAUUUUUAUAUUAAUAUUUAAUUGGGAGGAUUAGUAAAUUUAAUAAACUUUAUUUUAAAUAUAAACUUUGAUUUAAGAAUUAUUUUUGAUCUUGUAUUAUGAAAAUAAGAAUAAAUUACCUUAGGGAUAACAGCGUAAUAUCUUUUUAAAGGUCAUAUUGAUAAAGAUGAUUGCGACCUCGAUGUUGAAUUAAGAUAAAUUUUGGAUGGAGAAGUUUAAAAAUUAAGUCUGUUCGACUUUUAAAAUCUC
rnacentral:rRNA from 1 species